rnacentral:rRNA from 1 species
AGGGUUUGAUUAUGGCUCAGGAUGAACGCUAGCGGCAGGCCUAAUACAUGCAAGUCGAGGGGUAACAGGAAGUGCUUGCACUUCGCUGACGACCGGCGGACGGGUGAGUAUCGCGUAUACAAUCUGCCUCAUACUAGGGAAUAGCCCGAAGAAAUUUGGAUUAACGCCCUAUAGUAUCUUUUUAAGGCAUCUUAUUAAGAUUAAAGGUUACGGUAUGAGAUGAGUAUGCGUUCUAUUAGCUAGUAGGUGUGGUAACGGCACACCUAGGCUACGAUAGAUAGGGGCCCUGAGAGGGGGAUCCCCCACACUGGUACUGAGACACGGACCAGACUCCUACGGGAGGCAGCAGUAAGGAAUAUUGGUCAAUGGACGAAAGUCUGAACCAGCCAUGCCGCGUGCAGGAUGACUGCCCUAUGGGUUGUAAACUGCUUUUAUAUAGGAAGAAAAACUUUCUCGUGAGAAAGCUUGACGGUACUAUAAGAAUAAGGAUCGGCUAACUCCGUGCCAGCCGCCGCGGUAAUAC